rnacentral:lncRNA from 1 species
AAUUUAUUUUGUUUUCAUUAUUUAUAACUAACAAAGAGGUUUCUAUUGAUGCUUUUGGAUGAAAUUAUUUGUAUAUUUCUCUUUAAUAAUAACAUAAGUUUAGAUGCAAUAAAAUUCGACUUGCCCAAAUUGAAUUGAGAAGUGUCAAUAGAAAUAAUUCAUUUGAUUAAAUUAGCAACUUUAUAUCAACAUUAUUAUGUUCUCAUUCUAUAUAGCCAAUUAAAAGGUUUUUGUAGACGCUUUUGGACGAAAUUCAUUAUACAUUUCGAUAACGUAAGUUUAGAGGCUAUAAAUUCGACUUCCCCAAUUUUGAAUUCAAAAGUGGCACCAAAUAUAACUUAUUUGAUUGUAUUAACAACUUUUUAUCCAAUUUAUUACGUUUUCAUUAUUUAUAACUAACAAACAGGUUUUUCUAGACGCUUUUGGAUGAAAUUAUUUGUAUAUUUCUCUUUAAAAAUAACAUAAGUUUAGAUGCAAUAAAGUUCGACUUGCCCAAUUUGAAUUGAGAAGUGUCACCAGAAAUAAUUCAUUUGAGUAAAUUAGCAACUUUAUAUCAACAUUACUAUGUUCUCAUUCUAUAUAGCCAUUAAAAUGUUUUUAUAGACGCUUUUGGACGAAUUCAUUAUAAAUUUCGAUAACAUAAGUUUAGAGGUUAUAAAUUCGACUUCCCCAAUUUUGAAUUCAAAAGUGGCACCAAAUAUAAUUUAUUUGAUUGUAUUAGCAACUUUUUAUCAAAUUUAUUAUGUUUUCAUUAUUUAUAACUAACAAACAGGUUUCUAUUGAUGCUUUUGGAUGAAAUUAUUUGUAUAUUUCUCUUUAAUAAUAACAUAAGUUUAGAUGCAAUAAAGUUCGACUUGCCCAAUUUGAAUUGAGAAGUGUCACCAGAAAUAAUUCAUUUGAUUAAAUUAGCAACUUUAUAUCAACAUUAUUAUGUUCUCAUUCUAUAUAGCCAAUUAAAAGUUUUUUAUAGACGCUUUUGGAUGAAAUUCAUUAUACAUUUCGAUAAUGUAAGUUUAGAGGCUAUAAAUUCGACUUCUCCAAUUUUGAAUUCAAAAGUGGCACCAAAUAUAACUUAUUUGAUUAUAUUAGCAACUUUUUUAUCAACUUUAUUACAUUUUCAUUAUUUAUAACUAACAAACAGGUUUUUCUAGACGCGUUUGGAUGAAAAUAUUUGUAUAUUUCUCUUUAAAAAUAAUUAAGAUUAGAUUUAAUAAACUUCGACUUGCCCAAUUUGAAUUGAGAAGUGU